AAAGAGAUAGAAAGAAAACAUUAACAUAUGUUCUAUAGAGUUUCAGAAAAAGGGACAAGUGGUGUAAGCGGCUCAAUGCAUAACCAUCACAGAACAUUUUUUAUGUAUACACAUAUAUAGUCUACUGCUAAUUAAUUUGAUGAUCCAAAAUUCCACCUCCUCCAGAAUAGCAUGAACAAGUACAAUACAAACUACAGACCACAUAAGUACUAUACUAACUGGGAACUGGCUCCUUUUUUGUGAGAGUUUUGGACUUCUUUUUGGGUUAACUCUGUGCUGACACGUAAGUGCUUUGGAGGUUUUGCUUCCGGUGCUCUUUUUUUCCUGUGUAGCGCUUGGGGCUCCAUAGCAUUUUGGUGGUGUGGUGGACUGCAUGUUUUGUCCCUACUACUUUCCUUGUGAUUGAUUUGUUCGUGUGGGCGUAGCUGCUACUAGCCUGGAUAGUGGUGGCCCAUGGUGAGGCACAGGACACGAUGCGUUUUUUGUUUUUGUUUUUCUCGAAUGCAUGUGACAGAUCACCUAUUCUCGAUGUUUCAUGCUUGCAAUCAUGCAAUGCUUCGUGUGUUGACACGUUGAUACCUUGAUUGGUUGGACUAGCUCCGUUCUACGUGUAAACAUAGUUUUGACUAGAUUUUAUUCUUUUUCUCUUAGUACGUGGGCAUCUGUAGAGCUCUGGAGUGCCUCCUAAUUUUUUUUUUUUGUCUUAUCCCCCAUCUAUCCCGUGCGGAUCUCCGUCUCCACCGGCCUGCCCCGCCCCCAGCUGAGCUUUUUCAUGCCAAAUUCCUCUGUCCGGAGCGAGCUAUUCUGAACUUUCCUUUGGCCGAGCUCGGAGUGGUCGCCGACCUCAUUUUCUCCGUCCUGUACAGCCGGAUUCUAGCGGUUGCUACCACCGCCGGCCUGGCUCCCGGCGCCGCGGCCGGUUGGUCGUCUCCACGUGCUCAGCCUGUCGGCUCUGCACGCUGCCCCACCGCGCUCAUGCAGGUGGACAGGCUGGGCUUGGAGAGGAGACACUGCGGUGGCGGCUGAUGGAGCUGCGAAUCCCAGGGAUGGAGAUAAAUCGGAGGACUGCAUGAAGCGACGGACGUUGGCGACCGCGAUUAAAUCGACGCACAGAAUACGCCGGCCGUGGCGGUGACGUCGCCACCGAAGCCGCUGGUGUACUCAGCAGCAGGAACGGCCGUCCGGCUGUCCGAGCGCGCCGUCUGGCUCGCCGAGUUCGCCGACGAGACACGGGUUCUACGUGCGAUGCAUCGAGCGGUGGCUCACCACAGGCUGAAGACGAUCCUUCUUCCCAACCUGCUGUGCCCGGCCACGAAGCUGCCGGCAACGGCGCCGGUCGGCGCCCCCACGCGGCAGCGUCUUGAUGCCAUGCGAUGCCAUGGCCAUGAAACAACUGUCAUCUCUAUGCGCAGCAUCCUCAGGUGCAAAAUUAUCAAGAUCGGGAGAGUGAGUAACAGGACAGCAGAUGCCUUAGCUAGCCAAGCUAGAAAUCAUGAGGACAUGGUGAGCGUGGGGUUUGUCCAAACAAUUAAUCGUCAUAGAUAUAUCACAGACGAUUGUACUCCUGUGUCUUUUGAUAUAUAAAGUUUAUUUUCACCUGAAAAAUACAUUUAUUCAGUCCAGUCAAGGUAAAAAAUGGGUUUCAUGUCACCUCAAGUGUGCUAUCUUUAUAUUACCAGAUCACACUUAUGCGUGUCUAAAGAAAAAGUUUGUUGAUGCUUUGACAACCAUAAGUUCACAGCACAUCCAUGUAAGAUGAACACAAUAAGAAAUAAGGAGAAACUGGACAAAAUAUCAUGUGGUAUCCUCCUAUCACAUAAGCAUAGUCGAUAUUUGAUUUUAGUCUUUGUUCAGAUUAUCAGAUAGAAAAAAAUAGGGAAAGUACAUAUGAUUAUCAAAAAUUUAUAUGGCAACAAAAUGACACGAUAUAGUACCAGCUUCGGUCAGUCGAUGUAGAGCAAAUGAGAAAUGGCUACUUUGUUAGCAACUUUGGUAGGUUUUUUUUUGAACAACAGAGGGGUCUAGACGACCCCGGUGGCAUUUCAUUCCAUUAACGCGUGGCAGGUAACUUUGGUAGUUAAUGUACCGCAAAAUCUAGCAGAUUCAGUCCAAGUCAAACUGGUCAGAUGCAAGAUGCUCAAUCCGCAGAAAUAACAAUAGUUAGCAGCUACGGUAUGCUUAUGUUCAUUAUUGUUGUUUAGUUUGUAUUAUAAUUGUCUACACUUUUGUUCAGUUAGAUUAUUAGCAAAUCCGCCGCUUAGUUUGUAUUAGAAUUGUUUGCACUUUUGUCCCGUUAGUGUAGUAUAUUGAGCCAUCUAUCUAUUAGGGGGUUGUUGCAAAUUUUCCAUGCAUUUGCUUUUUUUGCCACUCCCGUUUCUAUUCCCCUUCCUGCGGAUUUUAUAUGUGUUAGACUGUUAGCGUAUAUGUCUUCUCCUUAUUACGGCACGUUCAACUUAGAGAGUGGUUCCAUGAUUUGCUUUGUUCAUAUUUACUACUUUAAUGAUUUUUUUGGCCCUGAGCUGGUGAUUAGUUUCUAGGUGAAGUGAGCACACAAUUGAAACCAUUUUACACAAAGCGAUGUUAGACUCCUGGGCGACAAGGACAGGCGUUCAACCUGACGUUAUCUCAAUCAGUGUAUUCAGUUAUGCAUGGUUCCGACUUAUGAACGAUGAUGGCUACUUCUUUCUGAUUUACUUUGUCUUCAUGGGAAGAUUUUCAAAUUUAACACCAGUUGUCGCCCUGACUAGCAGUACUCAACACUGAGCAUGCUAAGAUAUGGUGGUGCUAAGAAGUGGGGUGUCUUAGAGAAUCUCAAAAGGAGAUGACACUCGAGUACUGAACUAUGAAUAAUGAGAGUUCUAAACUUGAGGUGUCAAAAAAUCGAAGUCAGGAUAUGAGGAUAUCUACAUUUUUUCUCAUUGCCUUUCACAGUUGUGGCGUACACUCUUAUCAGUUGCAGUUCUGCAGAAUUCCAUAGAUAUUGGAUAGAGAUGAAGAAAUAUUGAGAGGAUAGGUUGUCAGGCCCUAUAUUGUGAUGCAUUGAUCAAAGUGAGCCAACUGAUAAUGUCCCGGUGGUAAGUUUACAUAGUUGGGUUUGUUCUGAUUUUUGUAUUUUUUCAUAGCACAACACAUACUCCAUUUGUCUCACUGUUUCAGCUACCAAUAAAGAUUAAAGUGCGUUGAGACAUGCACAGCCCAGCACUCGCAUGCACGAACAAAUUCAACUAAGGAAUAACAAGUUCCACAUUGGUUCUAGCCCGACAAAGCAAUCCCGCCUCAGCCGGUCUUACCGUAACUUCUUGAACCAUGGAGUGGGCGCCAAAGAAAGCAUACUGGCUUUACACACUGAAACUAAUGAUGUAUCAUCUGACGGAGACGAAGAGAGUAGCUAAAAUAGG